AGAGGGAUAUUUUUGCAGCUUGUCGUGGUCCUCAUACAGCUAAUGGUUCGCUUCCACACAUUUUAGGUUUAUUCAAUUGCACUUGGUUUGAUACUGGGCAGGUUUUCUAAGCUUGCUUUGAUAGGGCAAAGUCGGGUGACUUCUCAAUUCCCACUACACACAAGGUGUUUGUUGAUAUGUCGGGCAGGAAUUUGAAGCAUCUUGCGGAAUUAUCGUGCUUCAGACUAGAUUAAUUGAUUUGACAAAUGUUGAACAUCUACUUGCUUUGAUUCUUGAAGAAACAAUAAUGCUUAUAGUUUCUGAAGGUGCAGUCUUGCACUGUGACAAAUAGGUUGCAAAUGGUGCCUAGAGACAUACUUCUGGUCAUAUAUUUAAUGUGCACAAUGGGAUACCAGAAUUCAUUCUCCUUUAGCAAUGGACAAAACAAGAAAUUGUCAUGAUAUCAAUGGACUUUGAGAUAUCAUUUGCAACCCUAUUGAAGAACCAAACAACCGCAUUUGUUGGUUCCAAGAUUUCCGACUCGAACCUUGUGGAUAAGGUUUUUAUCGAGGGCCGGGGGUAGUGUUACAAACACGCCCAUUACUGAUUAUACUAUUGGGCUAGAAGCUAAGGUAUUUGGGCCAGUUGCUAAAAUGAGGAAAACCCAGCGUAUGUCGUGGGAUCCAGGUUGAGAAAAGCUAUUAAAAUACUGGUGGGCCGAAAGGAACAUGAUGAUUAUAAAUAGGAGUAGUGUGUAGUGGUCAGGGUAUGAUAGAACUUGGUAUUUUUUUUCAUUAGCUAUUUUGUAAUAGCAACUGGAACCUGAACCUCCCUUUUCUUAUUUUCCAUUUUUGUUCCUUGUUUACACUUGAUGAAUAUGAUUUCAUUACAAAGAUGGAGAAUUUGGCAGCCUUGUACAUGAAGUGGAAAUUAGUGAUUUUGGGGA